rnacentral:rRNA from 1 species
UACGUAGGGGGCAAGCGUUGUCCGGAAUCAUUGGGCGUAAAGAGCGCGUAGGCGGCCCUGUAAGUCCGCUGUGAAAGUCAAGGGCUCAACCCUUGGAUGCCGGUGGAUACUGCAGGGCUAGAGUCCGGAAGAGGCGAGUGGAAUUCCUGGUGUAGCGGUGAAAUGCGCAGAUAUCAGGAGGAACACCGAUGGCGAAGGCAGGUCUCUGGGCCGCAACUGACGCUGAGGCACGAAAGCCAGGGAGCGAACGGG